CCUGAGAGAUGAUCAGGUAGAUAGGUUGGAAGUGGAAGGCUAGUGAUAGUUGGAGCGGACCAAUACUAAUCGGUCGAGGACUUAACCAAA
rnacentral:rRNA from 1 species